rnacentral:rRNA from 1 species
UGGCGGGUGCCUAUACAUGCAGGUCGAGCGAAUCGAUGGGAGCUUGCUCCCUGAGUAUUAGCGGCGGUACGGGUGAGUAACACGUGGGCAACCUGCCUAUAAGGACUGGGAUAACUUCGGGAAACCGGAGCUAAUACCGGAUACGUUCUUUUCUCGCAUGAGAGAAGAUGGAAAGACGGUUUACGCUGUCACUUAUAGAUGGGCCCGCGGCGCAUUAGCUAGUUGGUGAGGUAAUGGCUCACCAAGGCGACGAUGCGUAGCCGACCUGAGAGGGUGAUCGGCCACACUGGGACUGAGACACGGCCCASACUCCUACGGGAGGCAGCAGUAGGGAAUCUUCCGCAAUGGACGAAAGUCUGACGGAGCAACGCCGCGUGAACGAAGAAGGCCUUCGGGUCGUAAAGUUCUGUUGUUAGGGAAGAACAAGUACCAGAGUAACUGCUGGUACCUUGACGGUACCUAACCAGAAAGCCACGGCUAACUACGUGCCAUGCAGCCGCGGUAAUAYGUAGGUGGCAAGCGUUGUCCGGAAUUAUUGGGCGUAAAGCGCGCGCAGGUGGUUCCUUAAGUCUGAUGUGAAAGCCCACGGCUCAACCGUGGAGGGUCAUUGGAAACUGGGGAACUUGAGUGCAGAAGAGGAAAGUGGAAUUCCAAGUGUAGCGGUGAAAAUGCGUAGAGAUUUGGAGGAACACCAGUGGCGAAGGCGACUUUCUGGUCUGUAACUGACACUGAGGCGCGAAAGCGUGGGGAGCAAACAGGAUUAGAUACCCCUGGUAGUCCACGCCGUAAACGAUGAGUGCUAAGUGUUAGAGGGUUUCCGCCCUUUAGUGCUGCAGCUAACGCAUUAAGCACUCCGCCUGGGGAGUACGGCCGCAAGGCUGAAACUCAAAGGAAUUGACGGGGGCCCGCACAAGCGGUGGAGCAUGUGGUUUAAUUNGAAGCAACGCGAAGAACCUUACCAGGUCUUGACAUCCUCUGACAACCCUAGAGAUAGGGCUUUCCCCUUCGGGGGACAGAGUGACAGGUGGUGCAUGGUUGUCGUCAGCUCGUGUCGUGAGAUGUUGGGUUAAGUCCCGCAACGAGCGCAACCCUUGAUCUUAGUUGCCAGCAUUCAGUUGGGCACUCUAAGGUGACUGCCGGUGACAAACCGGAGGAAGGUGGGGAUGACGUCAAAUCAUCAUGCCCCUUAUGACCUGGGCUACACACGUGCUACAAUGGAUGGUACAAAGGGCUGCAAACCUGCGAAGGUAAGCGAAUCCCAUAAAGCCAUUCUCAGUUCGGAUUGCAGGCUGCAACUCGCCUGCAUGAAGCCGGAAUCGCUAGUAAUCGCGGAUCAGCAUGCCGCGGUGAAUACGUUCCCGGGCCUUGUACACACCGCCCGUCACACCACGAGAGUUUGUAACACCCGAAGUCGGUGAGGUAACCUUCAUGGAGCCAGCCGCCUAAGGUGGACAGAGAUNG